UACGUAGGGUGCAAGCGUUGUCCGGAAUUAUUGGGCGUAAAGAGCUCGUAGGCGGUUUGUCGCGUCUGGUGUGAAAAUCCAGGGCUUAACCCUGGACCUGCAUCGGGUACGGGCAGACUAGAGUGCGGUAGGGGAGAUCGGAAUUCCUGGUGUAGCGGUGAAAUGCGCAGAUAUCAGGAGGAACACCGAUGGCGAAGGCAGUGGUCUGGGCCGAUACUGACGCUGAGGAGCGAAAGCGUGGGGAGCGAACAGG
rnacentral:rRNA from 1 species